GAUGAACGCUGGCGGCGUGCCUAAUACAUGCAAGUCGAGCGAACAGACGAGGAGCUUGCCUCUCUGACGUUAGCGGCGGACGGGUGAGUAACACGUGGAUAACCUACCUAUAAGACUGGGAUAACUUCGUGAAACCGGAGCUAAUACCGGCAUAUAUAUUCAACCGCAAGGUUCAAUAGCUAAAGACGUCUUUGCUGUAACUUAUAGAAGGUUCCGCGCCGCAUUAGCUAGUUGGUAAGGUAACGGCUUACCAAGGCAACGAUGCGUAGCCGACCUGAGAGGGUGAUCGGCCACACUGGAACUGAGACACGGUCCAGACUCCUACGGGAGGCAGCAGUAGGGAAUCUUCCGCAAUGGGCGAAAGCCUGACGGAGCAACGCCGCGUGAGUGAUGAAGGUCUUCGGAUCGUAAAACUCUGUUAUUAGGGAAGAACAAAUGUGUAAGUAACUAUGCACGUCUUGACGGUACCUAAUCAGAAAGCCACGGCUAACUACGUG
rnacentral:rRNA from 1 species